CACAAAACAGACGAAACACAAGAAAACAACAGUAAUCCCUACAGUACAAAACAGCCAAGUAGCUGUCAGGAAAAUGGAUGUGAAUGCAUUGAAGGAGGUGGUUCAGAGAAAUGUGAAGCAAACUGGUAUUUUGACACAGAUGCAAAGCUCAAUUUCUUAUCCCUGACCAUUCUGGGCCUUGAGAAUUCUGUUCCUGAAGACCAUCAUUUUCAACGUGCUGAUGACGGUGGAUGAGUUAGAAAGAUAUACAUCAGUUCCUCAAAGACGACACAAUACAUUUUCCCAGAAGAACUAUUGAUUUGACUACUGACCACGUCUCAUCAUGCUUUGCCAGAAUAAAACACAAAUAUUGAUUAACUGUAAAUACUUCAGUCAAUUGCGUUGUAAUUACAUUCUGGAUGUGUGAAGUUUUACUCAUGUGAAUUUCUUAAUAUUUUGGACUGCCAACUAAAUGACUGUCCUCACAGACACAUAUUGUUGGAAACAAAGAA